CCUAUGUAGCUGUUCUGGAGAACAAUUAGCCUACAUUGUAUGAAAUUAAUGCGUAUAUCACCUAUGAGCCAUGAUACGGAGUGGUAUAAGAGGGCAGAUGUUUCCUAUCAGCACCUCGUGCUCUUCAGUUUCUUUGAUUAUUCCCUUUCCCAGAAUGAGGUUCAUUUUCUAUAGAUGUGCAGAAGCAUCACAUGGUGAAAUAGCAUAGGUUUUGUAGUCAGAUAGCUUUGGGUACGAUUCCUGUCCCUGCCUCUUAGGAUGUGUGAAAUUGAGUAAAUUACUUCAUUUCACUGAACUCUCGUUUCCCUUAUUUGGCAGUACUCUUAGAGGACUGACAUGGAAUAAUGUAGGGUGUGUUUAAGACAUGUUUAAGUGUCAGCACGAAGAUCUUGCACAAGCCCACUCUGCGUGCAAGUUAACACAACUGCAUAAGAUCACAACCUCCUUAUUUCUCUUCUAACAACCUUGGGAUAUCAAAACCGCCUCUUUACUUCCAGCUCUGACACAGGCUCAAUCCUUAUCUUUGAUAUAUUCUGGCCUUUUUAUUUUUCUAUCUUUUCUCCUUUAGUAGGCUAAGUUCUCACUUAAGCUACUUUCCUUGGCAUUUUGCGUCCUUGUGCUUUUUCCCAGCAUUUCUUUCUCCCUUCUCUCUACACCAGAGGCCAGCAAUUUCUUUUUUCUGUAAGAGGCCAAAUAGCAAAUAGGUUAGGCAUUGUGGGUCGUAUGGUCUCUGUUGCAACUAUUCAACUCUGCCAUUAUUAUGGGAAAGCAGCCAUAAAUAAUAUCUAAACGAAUGAGUGUGGCUGUGUUUCAAAGUUCAUAUAUAAAAUGUUACAUAUAAAAAUAGGCAACAGGACAGAUUAAUCUUGUAGGCUCUAGUUUGCUGACCCUUGAUUUAUGCUAUUAAAUCCCAGCCAGUUUUAUUUCCUUUGUAGAUUCUGAAGAGCAACAUUAUUACCUAUGACAACUGACCUCUUAGAAUAUGGAAGAUUCCAGCCCCUCUGUAUCUGUAGAUAGCAAUCCUAGAUGUUAGACAAGAACUUUUCUUACUCAAAUUGUUUACCAAACUUAAUAAAAAUACAACAAACCAGGUAACCCACAAGGCCUGCUCCCUUCUCUCUUUUCAGGACCAGUGUGCUGAGUAUUGGGGGAAAAAAAUGCAAAAUUGGAAACUCAGCUGUACUCGGGAGAGAGAUCCUGUACAUGAUGCUGACGGAAAAACAUGCAAAGAGAAGCAAAGGAAAAAUAUAAGCAUCCCGGCAACAGAUCAAAUGGGACUGAAGCAACUCAGGAAAGGAUAUAUGUGAUGAGUUUAGAAGCCAAAUGAAAAAUGGACGACUUAUCUGCACCUGAGAAAGUGACUCUGUCCAUGGCCCAGACUGUAGGACAUAUGGCAAUAAGUGCACUAUGUGUAAGGAACAGCUGUGAGUAGUUUCCAAAAAUGGCCCUUGAAUUGUGAGUCUUAAAGUAGUAAUAAUCAUUUCUCAUCAGUUUGAGAAAACAACACGUUUUUAAAGCAGAUCUAGUAACUGAUGAGUGUCUGUUCCCUUUGGUAGCAUUGUUUCUUUACACUUUUUUCUUCAAGGGAAAGAGAAGCAGCCGAAAGAAAAGAGAAAGACAAGGAGAACACGGGAAGCACAGGAGAGAAGAACAACGAAAAGCAGGAUCAGUGCCAUGAAUUCCGGGACAUGGUGAGAAACUGAAAGCUGGUGUGCACUGCAGACUAUGAUCCUGUUCGAGGUCCAUAUGACAAGAUGCACCCCAACAAGUGUGCCACGUGUCAGAGCAUGUUUGAGCGAGAAGUUAACGAAAGAAAAAAGAAUGAAGAAACAUCAAGUGCCAAGCCCUCAAACUAUGCAAAGGUUAUUUCUUAGAAGCUACGAAGAUAACUGUUUUACUGCUCAUCCUCAGAAUCUUGAAUGCUACUCCAGUUUUAGGAUAAUAAAGAUGCUAAUCUUUUGCUUCAAAGAAAA